GACGAACGCUGGCGGCGUGCUUAACACAUGCAAGUCGAACGGAAAGGCCCCUUUGGGGGUACUCGAGUGGCGAACGGGUGAGUAACACGUGAGUAACCUGCCCUUGACUUCGGGAUAACUUCAGGAAACUGGGGCUAAUACCGGAUAGGAAUCCUUGCUGCAUGGUGGGGGUUGGAAAGCUUCGGCGGUUUUGGAUGGACCCGCGGCUUAUCAGCUUGUUGGUGGGGUAGUGGCUUACCAAGGCUUUGACGGGUAGCCGGCCUGAGAGGGCGACCGGCCACAUUGGGACUGAGAUACGGCCCAGACUCCUACGGGAGGCAGCAGUGGGGAAUAUUGCACAAGGGGCGGAAGCCUGAUGCAGCAACGCCGCGUGCGGGAUGACGGCCUUCGGGUUGUAAACCGCUUUCAGCAGGGGCGAAGCUUGUGGUGACGGUACCUGCAGAAGAAGCACCGGCUAACUACGUG
rnacentral:rRNA from 1 species